ACCUCUGGUGUACCGGUUGUCAUGCCAAUGGCAUUGCCGGGUAGCUAAGUACGGAAGAGAUAACCGCUGAAGGCAUCUAAGCGGGAAACUCGUCUGAAGAUUAGGUAUCCCGGGGACUUGAUCCCCCUGAAGAGUCGUUCGAGACCAGGACGUUGAUAGGUCGGGUGUGGAAGCGCAGUAAUGCGUUAAGCUAACCGAUACUAAUUGCUCGUGAGGCUUGAUCCUAUAACACUGAUGGUUAUG
rnacentral:rRNA from 1 species